ensembl:lncRNA
GGGUUGCCAUUUCCUUCUCCAGGGCAUCUUCCCGACCCAGGGAUCAAACCCAGGUCUCCUGGAAGUCUCCUGCAUUGACAGGAGGAUUCUUUACCACUAAGUCACCUGGAAAGCCGCCUGUAAACAGUAGGUGCUCAGUAAAUGCCACUUCCUCUCUCCGAUCCUUAGACAUACAGAUGGCUAACAAACACAUGAAAAGAUGCUCAACAUCACUCAUUAUCAGAGAAAUGCAAAUCAAAACCACAAUGAAGUACCAUCUCACGCCGGUCAGAAUGGCUGCAAUCCAAAAGUCUACAAACAAAAAUGCUGGAGAGGGUGAGGAGAAAAAGGAACCCUCUUAUACUGUUGGUGGGAAUGCAAACUAGUACAGGAACUAUGGAGAACACUGUGGAGAUUCCUUAAAAAACUGGAAAUAGAAGUGCCAUACAACCCAGCAAUCCCACUGCUGGGCAUACACACCGAGGAAACCAGAAUGGAAAGAGACACGUGUACCCCAAUGUUCAUCACAACACUGUUUACAAUAGCCAGGACAUGGAAGCAACCUAGAUGUCCAUCAGCGGAUGAAUGGAUAAGAAAGCUGUGGUACAUAUACGCAAUGGAAUAUUACUCAGCCAUUAAAAAUAAUACAUUUGAAUCAGUUCUAAUGAGGUGGAUGAAACUGGAACCUAUUAUACAGACUGAAGUAAGCCAGAAAGAAAAACACCAAUACAGUAUAUACUAAGGCAUAUAUAUGGAACUUAGAAAGAUGGUAAUGAACUUCCUGAUGAUCAAGCUGGUUUUAGAAAAGGCAGAGGAACCAGAGAUCAAAUUAUCAACAUCUGCUGGAUCAUGGAAAAAGCAAGAGAGUUCCAGAAAAACAUCUAUUUCUCCUUUAUUGACUAUGCCAAAGCCUUUGACUGUGGAUCACAAUAAACUGUGGAAAAUUCUGAAAGAGAUGGGAAUACCAGACCACCUGACCUGCCUCUUGAGAAAUCUGUAUGCAGGUCAGGAAGCAACAGUUAGAACUGGACAUGGAACAACAGACUGGUUCCAAAUAGGAAAAGGAGUUCGUCAAGG